rnacentral:lncRNA from 1 species
GAGGUGUGAAAAUGAAACAAGGGGUUGCAGGGAGGAAGAUUUUUUUUAAAGGCAGAAUGGGCUUAAGCCUAAACAGAAGGGGUGUCAAGAUGGGAAGUGGGGUGUGCUGGGAAGAAUUCUCCUGAGCCCCAACCAAGGGAAUGGACAUGGGGUGUGCAGGUAGAAACGGGCAUGGAACAGUUUUUUUUUUAAAAAGAAAGGAGUUGGAGCCCAACAAUUUGGCCCAAGUGCUUCAGCAGAAGAUUAAGGGUUCUGCCGCCCAUCUCAUUUCACCAUUUGCGCGUUCAGCAACUAAAAGACACAGGUCUCUUCCUCUCUGUAGAAAAACAGAAAAAUCCUAAGACACUCAAACGCCGACAGUCGUGCCGUCUUCACCUCCGUCCGAAUCUGCCACCACGCCGCUCAACCAGCAUUGGCGUCGCCGGCAACAUAACCCCUUUCGAGAGGGAGCAGCGAUUUCACAUCCUUCAUCGCUACGCGUACGCAGUCGUCAACCUACCCCGACUAGCCACUGUGGCAGAUCCCCUACUCCGUCCAAGGCGCCGCCGGCGACCAAACCACUGUAGCUGUCGCCAGCCUAGACGUGAAAUCCCUCUUUCCCCUUCCUCGCGCGAGAACAUGGAAGCGUCAUGCUUCUUCCCUUCAACCGACCACCACCGCGAGUCGCCGUCGUCGCGAGACGCCGUCGUCGCGAGACGCCGUCACAGAAACAACAACUCUUUGUCGGACUACCACUGUGCAACCACCGCGCCUCCGGAAGUCAACGCGAACUCUAGUCGCUGCAGCCACAACAAUCACCACACGAAAAUCCUCUUUUAUUCUCAUUACACUCUGUUCUACCACACACACUCAUUCUAAUUUAGGUUUGAAUCUCACCUUGAUGAGAUUUUACGUGUUCUUGUUGUUUUCCUUGUUUGGGCGUUUGCAGGUUACAGGCCAUGAAUCACUUGGUUUCAAGGAGGAUUUGGCAUAGAGUGUUGUUGUUGUAUAUCUUAGUUUUUGAUUGCUUGAAUGCUUUGCAGUGCGUUUUCUAGGCAUUUCUGGAUGUAAGUAAAGAGGUUAUUGGGGUCUUGCUGUUGGGGAUACAUGUCCAUGUUCCAUUCUCAAUUAAAUAUGAUAGAUUUUGCAGGCAUUGAAACUGCGUUUUGGGUGCAGUUUUGAUUGACAGAGGAUAUCACAAAGUAAGCGAACACAACCAUAUACACGCAUAUUUCAUUCAUAUGUAACAGAGGCAUGUUUCAUUCAUAUC